CGUGUAGGCAGCGCACGGCAGCCUAAGGGGCUGGGUCUCUGUGGUGCAAUCGGUAAGCGCGUUCGGCUGUUAACCGAAAGCUUGGUGGUUCAAGCCCACCCAGGGGACGUGGUCCUAAUUUUCUGCAACCCCUGAGCGAUUUUUAACCGAAUAUGAGCACAACGCUGCCCCGUUUCCAGCGCAGGAAACCCUGUCCAGGGGGAGGACAAUACGUAUCCACUUACAGUUUACUUCCUAACGCGGUUGGGCCUGGCUACGCAGCAUCUGGACUGGGAGCCUAAGUCUGGCGUUCAAACUCAUCCUUUCUCUGAGCGGACUUGGACAUGAGCUCCAGGAUACCAAGAAUGGUAUCAUGGCAACGGAAAAAGCAGCCACGGCCCACGGACAGGUACACGGGUGAACACCUUUGGCUUCUCUCUGAACUGUUGGACCGCACCAAAUACCGGAACGUAGUUAUUAUUUCCAUAAAGAUCAGAUGGUGUGAGAAGUAGUCCUCUAGAGGCAAGUGGAAGCGCACUGUCCUAGGAAAUGAGUCACUGAACUUUGGUCAUGCCUUUUGGACAAAUGGACUUGAAUCUAGGAAAAGACACCACGUUUCGCUUAGCCGGCUGCAGAUUUCCUCUGAAAUCCAACUCAAAAUAACAGAAAUAGUAUGGAUGAGCUCCUUGUAAAAAGCUUCAAAUGAUAUAUUUUCAACUCUAGUCUCACGGAGGACACAAGUAUUCUUCAAGUCCAUGUUUCACUUAAGACUUUGUAUAAAAAUAGAGAAGCAUAUAAUUCUCUGCCGAUCCUAAAACCAUCUGGUGGAUGCUUUGUCUCUGAAAUCUACUGAAUGGUGCUGUGCUCGGAGGUGGAAAGUCAGAUAAAAAUGCAAGUAAGGAGCAUCAGCAGGGAGCCCCACAGAAAAAUGUUUCUGGAUGGUUAUAGUGGUCAAUAUAGACCAAAGCUCUGUCUUCUUGGAAGAUUUGAAACAACGCUGAAAGAUCUGAGAGGAAGCAAGGCAGGGGAGGGGCAUUCAAGGGUUGGGGAGAUUGCAGGUGGGUGAGCAUAAGCAUUGUGGAAGAUGGGCUUACUCUAAAAAGAAGCAGUGGAAGUUUUUGUAACUGUGGAAGGGCCCUGGGCACCUAGGGAUGAGGCUAGAUGUCACCUUGUAGAGUAGCGGUUUCAUCUUUAGGACAAAAUAAAAUCCAUGUUAGGUGGUUGGUCUGGCUAUAGUAUAGGAGAAAUAAGAGUUCAGACAAUGGUUAACAGAAUUAUAUUUCAAGGGAGGGGC
rnacentral:tRNA from 1 species